UACGUAGGGGGCAAGCGUUGUCCGGAAUCAUUGGGCGUAAAGAGCGCGUAGGCGGCUCGUUAAGUGUAGAGUGAAAUCUCUGGGCUCACCCCAGAAACUGCUCUGCAUACUGGCGAGCUUGAGUGAUGAAGAGGUUUGUGGAAUUCCUGGUGUAACGGUGAAAUGUGUUGAUAUCAGGAGGAACACCCAUGGCGAAGGCAGCAAACUGGUCAUCAACUGACGCUGAGGCGCGAAAGCGUGGGUAGCAAACAGG
rnacentral:rRNA from 1 species